GAUCGCGUGGCUCAGUUGGCAGAGCGUUGGGCUAGUAUUCCAAAGGUCGUAGGUUCGAUUCCCACCGUGGCCA
rnacentral:tRNA from 1 species